CAAGACACCAUGGAGGUUACAGCUUUCUGCAUCACACUGAUGAUGAAUGCGUUGAUGUUGCUGGUGCCCAUAUUCAGCAUGGUUAUCCUCAGACACCUGUUUCAGACGCAGCUUUUCGUAUUGUUCCAACCUGACUGCAGCUUUUUGAAUACGAGUCUGUCCACUUUACCUGUGAGGGGUUUAAUGUCCUAGCUGGGUGCAGAGUGAGAACCAUCAAGGAAUUAAUUCCAG
rnacentral:lncRNA from 1 species